UCAAGCGUUGUUUGAUUGCACAUUGCAGUGCUUCCUCACUUCAAAGAGAGCUGCAAAGAAAAAACUGAAGAAAAGCUUGAAAAAAACGCGCGUAGGAAUCGAGGCUCUUGUGGUGUACGGCACACUGAAAACACUCACAUUAGAUUGCAGAAAGAUGAUUAAUCGUGCUCACAGGAAUCAACUGCGGCAAUCGGUGUCGUCGAGGUUGGUUUACCAUAUCGUACAGUCGGAGAGACCCGUAAAUAAUCGGGUUUUGUAUGUGUACAACAAAAUUCCCCCAACACCCUCUUGAAACUCUCGUCUAUGAUUCAAUAUGAACGGAAUUUAUCCAGCCUUCAAAAGCUGAACUACCAUUUCUUUUCUUGUAAAUUUGUGAAAAUGUGUGUAAAAUGUCUUUACGGUCACCUUUGAUCAAUGUGUGGGAUAAA